rnacentral:rRNA from 1 species
CGGACGGGUGAGUAAUGUCUGGGAAACUGCCUGAUGGAGGGGGAUAACUACUGGAAACGGUAGCUAAUACCGCAUAACGUCGCAAGACCAAAGAGGGGGACCUUCGGGCCUCUCGCCAUCGGAUGUGCCCAGAUGGGAUUAGCUAGUAGGUGGGGUAAAGGCUCACCUAGGCGACGAUCCCUAGCUGGUCUGAGAGGAUGACCAGCCACACUGGAACUGAGACACGGUCCAG